rfam:Salmo salar isolate Sally breed double haploid chromosome ssa19, whole genome shotgun sequence.
UGGCUCAGUUGGUAGAGCAUGGUGUUUGCAACGCCAGGGAUGUGGGUUCGAUUCCCAC